UGACCCCUUUUCACUUUACCCACUGGACUCAUCUUUAUUGGCUAUUCAAGUGGAGCAAAGGAAUAACCUUUUAGAACUCAAGCAAAAUGGGCAUUUGUCUUAUAUCUUGAGGAAACAAAG